rnacentral:rRNA from 1 species
UACAGAGGUGUCAAACGUUGUCCGGAAUUACUGGGCGUAAAGGGCGCGUAGGCGGUUGGAUAAGUCAGAUGUGAAAUCACCGGGCUCAACCCGGUAAUUGCAUUUGAAACUGUCCGACUUGAGUUGGGUAGAGGAGGGCGGAAUUCCUGGUGUAGCGGUGAAAUGCGUAGAUAUCAGGAGGAACACCUGUGGCGAAGGCGGCUCUCUGGUCCCAUACUGACGCUGAGGCGCGAAAGCUAGGGUAGCAAACAGG